GCCGUAGCCGGUCUCGGCGGGGGAACGAGGGUUCGGAAGUGGAAGAACUCCCGGGAGUGCAGCCUUUAGGAGGCCCGACGGAAGUAAACCUCGCGGGAGAUCAAGGAUCGAUCGAAUCUAAAAUGGGCCUGGAUCCAGAAUCCCACAUUGGAAGUAUUAACUGCAAUCUUCAAGACCACCACUGAGCUGAGUGAGGGUGGAGCAAAGG